rnacentral:pre_miRNA from 1 species
GGGGAGCGCAGGAUCCUGGGCUGUGUUCCCUGGCACCUUGGGAUCUGGGGCCUGUGCUGCCGGAUCCCUGCUCCAGGGACCUGGGCUCCCU